UACGAAGGGGGCUAGCGUUGCUCGGAAUCACUGGGCGUAAAGGGUGCGUAGGCGGGUCUUUAAGUCAGGGGUGAAAUCCUGGAGCUCAACUCCAGAACUGCCUUUGAUACUGAGGAUCUUGAGUUCGGGAGAGGUGAGUGGAACUGCGAGUGUAGAGGUGAAAUUCGUAGAUAUUCGCAAGAACACCAGUGGCGAAGGCGGCUCACUGGCCCGAUACUGACGCUGAGGCACGAAAGCGUGGGGUGCAAACAGG
rnacentral:rRNA from 1 species